rnacentral:sRNA from 22 species
AGGACAGGGGGGUUCCCGUCGUACGCCGGGGCCUGUCCGACCCGAGGCCGCAACCGAUCCGUCGGACGCGGCAGCGGUUGUCGCUCGGGGGUGAUCGCCG